AUUGAACGCUGGCGGCAUGCUUUACACAUGCAAGUCGAACGGUAACAGGCCGCCAGGUGCUGACGAGUGGCGAACGGGUGAGUAAUGCAUCGGAACGUGCCCCGUCGUGGGGGGUAACUACUCGAAAGAGUAGCUAAUACCGCAUACGAUCUAUGGAUGAAAGCGGGGGACCGUAAGGCCUCGCGCUAUUUGAGCUGUCGAUGUCAGAUUAGGUAGUUGGUGGGGUAAAGGCUCACCAAGCCAACGAUCUGUAGCUGGUCUGAGAGGACGACCAGCCACACUGGAACUGAGACACGGCCCAGACUCCUACGGGAGGCAGCAGUGGGGAAUUUUGGACAAUGGGCGCAAGCCUGAUCCAGCAAUGCCGCGUGCAGGAAGAAGGCCUUCGGGUUGUAAACUGCUUUUGUACGGAACGAAACGGCUCUGGUUAAUACCCGGGGCUAAUGACGGUACCGUAAGAAUAAGCACCGGCUAACUACGUG
rnacentral:rRNA from 1 species